AGUGAACGCUGGCGGUAGGCCUAACACAUGCAAGUCGAACGGCAGCACAGUAAGAGCUUGCUCUUACGGGUGGCGAGUGGCGGACGGGUGAGGAAUACAUCGGAAUCUACUUUUUCGUGGGGGAUAACGUAGGGGAACUUACGCUAAUACCGCAUACGACCUACGGGUGAAAGCAGGGGAUCUUCGGACCUUGCGCGAUUGAAUGAGACGAUGUCGGAUUAGCUAGUUGGCGGGGUAAAGGCCCACCAAGGCGACGAUCCGUAGCUGGUCUGAGAGGAUGAUCAGCCACACUGGAACUGAGACACGGUCCAGACUCCUACGGGAGGCAGCAGUGGGGAAUAUUGGACAAAGGGCGCAAGCCUGAUCCAGCCAUACCGCGUGGGUGAAGAAGGCCUUCGGGUUGUAAAGCCCUUUUGUUGGGAAAGAAAAGCAGCAGGUUAAUACCCCGCUGUUCUGACGGUACCCAAAGAAUAAGCACCGGCUAACUUCGUG
rnacentral:rRNA from 1 species